GCUUACCAUGCAGUCGAACGAUGAAGCCCAGCUUGCUGGGUGGAUUAGUGGCGAACGGGUGAGUAACACGUGAGUAACCUGCCCAUCACUCUGGGAUAACUCCGGGAAACCGGUGCUAAUACUGGAUAUGACUCCAACCUGCAUGGGUAUGGGGUGGAAAGAUUUAUCGGUGGUGGAUGGACUCGCGGCCUAUCAGCUUGUUGGUGGGGUAAUGGCCUACCAAGGCGACGACGGGUAGCCGGCCUGAGAGGGUGACCGGCCACACUGGGACUGAGACACGGCCCAGACUCCUACGGGAGGCAGCAGUGGGGAAUAUUGCACAAUGGGCGAAAGCCUGAUGCAGCGACGCCGCGUGCGGGAUGACGGCCUUCGGGUUGUAAACCGCUUUCAGCUCUGACGAAGCUUUUGUGACGGUAGGAGCAGAAGAAGCACCGGCUAACUACGUGCCAGCAGCCGCGGUAAUACGUAGGGUGCGAGCGUUGUCCGGAAUUAUUGGGCGUAAAGAGCUUGUAGGCGGCUUGUCGCGUCUGCUGUGAAAACCCGGGGCUUAACCCCGGGCUUGCAGUG
rnacentral:rRNA from 1 species